UGGGUGAAUUUUGCUUGUUUUUAGUGAGGAUAAGAGCUAGAAUAUGUUACAAGAAGAGAAAGAGGAUGGUCACAGGAGAAGAAAGCGGACUGUUCUUGUGGGAAAAGUGAUGAGGAAAGUUGAAGCUUUUUGCCUAUGAAUAAACUUUACUUCUUCUGAAACAAAGGAGAGAAAACACUGAAUUAAAGUGUCCAGUCAACCUUGCAAGAGCCGUGUACAGAGGAGAGGCACACUGCCAGAGGCUACAAACUGAAGGCCAUGAAAUACAAUGAAUAAAGUAUAUAAACAGAAAGAAAAUAAAAGCUAAAUGAGAUGACUGCAUGUACAGCAAAGGAGUGACAGACAUGAUGACAUCAUAGCUGCAAACACCCCAUAGAGGAGUUCCAGUAACGAGUUGGAGAGGAAUCCUUGAUCCAGUCUUCCCUGCCCCAACGGAGAGGAGUGUCUAAAUCACAAGACCUGCUACUAGAUACUCUACACGGCAGGGUGCCAUUCUGCCAGAGAUUCCAGACAAACAGACCCUGCUGAGAUAAUUGCCAAGAUGUGUUUCCUGCUUCUGGUAGCUGAAUCCAGCUCACCUCACCCAGGAAUGUCACCUGCCCCGAGGAACAGAUGCUGAGCUGCUUCCAGACUUGGAACACAGACCCAGAGGCCCUGCUGAGAUGACCUGACUGCAGUGACUACAAUUUUCCACAGUUUACUUUGGAGCUGAAAUUCAGACUGAACUAACCCCUCUUCACUUAAAAAGGGUGCAGACUUAGGUAUUUAACUGCUGUUCAGAGACUAAAACUGGUAUUUGAUAACAGCAAUGUCAUUGUACUUUUACUGAAAUUGACCUAAUGAUAUUUGGAACUGCUUAUAGAUGUUGAAAAAAGUUUGACACACCCUGUAAAUGUUUGGGUUUAACGUUAAGAAUUUUAAAUUUUGAUCCUUUGGGGUGCCUUAAAAGAGGAAUGUUGCUUCUAUACUGAUCACACUGAAAUAUAUGACUAAGGUCAAGAAAGGAUUAGAGCAUAGAAGAAACCAGAAAGACCAAAAGGAGGGAUGGUUUAAAAACUGUUUUUUCCACCUCCCGCUGGGUCACCACCCUCUUACCCUCCUUUUUGGGACCUCUUUUAGGAUUUUUAUUAUUGAUAGCUUUUGGAGCAUGAGCCUUCAAUAGGCUCACUAGGUUUAUUCUCCAACAGGUGGACUCCUUGACCUCCAAGCCCAUUCAAGUCCAUUAUCACUGGCUUGAUGUGGCUGAUCAAGGGCUAGAAGAGCCCCUUGAAAGCGAGUCUCCUAUAGGAGCCACAUAAAACCCAGAGAUAUGUGUGCCUGUCCACGAUAGGCAUGGGCACCAGCAAAAGGAGUUCGAGACAAAGCACUGCAGGGAGAGGAUCAUGCAUUCUGUCUCUGAGUCUCCUCAGGAACAUGCCUGAUUGCAUAGAGGUUGAUGUCCAGAGGUACUGAUAUAAAAACCUAGCCCCUCUCCUCCCCAAAAAGACAUCUGUAACUUUGAAGAAAAAUUGGAAAGAAAUUUCUCCCACCAAGUAAACAUGGGAGGAUUGGGCCUCUGCCCCCCUCCCACUGAUUAAUGCCUGCUUAUCUACUAGAUGACCUUUAACUCACCUCAUACUAAUACUUAUAAAAAGGGAGGACCUGCUGAGAGCAAAGACCUGUAUUUUGGUUAUAGCCGUCACAAGUUAACUAAGCUAUUCAGAAGCCUUCUUAUCUCCCUGUGAGUUAGCAGUGCCUACAGGUCUGCAGACCAGUGGAUCCCAGGCACCGGAAGUGAUUAGCAUUUCCCCCUAUAAACAUUUACAGACCCUCAGCAUCUCCUUAUCUCUUCCUGUCAGCUAUGGGAUGCCUCCAGACCUGACAUUCCAGCAUCCUACUCUACCUUCUGCCUGCUUGCUAUAUAAUGCUCCUGAGAAAAAAUAAAGUUGGUGACUUGAUCAGAAUACAGACUAGCUGUCUAUUUC